UGGGGAAUUUUGGACAAUGGGGGAAACCCUGAUCCAGCCAUCCCGCGUGUGCGAUGAAGGCCUUCGGGUUGUAAAGCACUUUUGGCAGGAAAGAAACGUCAUGGGUUAAUACCCCGUGAAACUGACGGUACCUGCAGAAUAAGCACCGGCUAACUACGUGCCAGCAGCCGCGGUAAUACGUAGGGUGCAAGCGUUAAUCGGAAUUACUGGGCGUAAAGCGUGCGCAGGCGGUUCGGAAAGAAAGAUGUGAAAUCCCAGAGCUCAACUUUGGAACUGCAUUUUUAACUACCGGGCUAGAGUGUGUCAGAGGGAGGUGGAAUUCCGCGUGUAGCAGUGAAAUGCGUAGAUAUGCGGAGGAACACCGAUGGCGAAGGCAGCCUCCUGGGAUAACACUGACGCUCAUGCACGAAAGCGUGGGGAGCAUACAGG
rnacentral:rRNA from 1 species